UGGGGAAUUUUGGACAAUGGGGGCAACCCUGAUCCAGCCAUCCCGCGUGUGCGAUGAAGGCCUUCGGGUUGUAAAGCACUUUUGGCAGGGAAGAAACAGCCUGGGAUAAUACCCCGGGCGACUGACGGUACCUGCAGAAUAAGCACCGGCUAACUACGUGCCAGCAGCCGCGGUAAUACGUAGGGUGCAAGCGUUAAUCGGAAUUACUGGGCGUAAAGCGUGCGCAGGCGGUUCGGAAAGAAAGGUGUGAAAUCCCAGGGCUUAACCUUGGAACUGCACUUUUAACUACCGAGCUAGAGUACGUCAGAGGGGGGUAGAAUUCCGCGUGUAGCAGUGAAAUGCGUAGAGAUGUGGAGGAAUACCGAUGGCGAAGGCAGCCCCCUGGGCCAAUACUGACGCUCAUGCACGAAAGCGUGGGGAGCAAACAGGAUUAGAUACCCUGGUAGUCCACGCCCUAAACGAUGUCAACUAGUUGUUGGGGAUUCAUUUCCUUAGUAACGUAGCUAACGCGUGAAGUUGACCGCCUGGGGAGUACGGUCGCAAGAUUAAAACUUAAAUGAAUUGAC
rnacentral:rRNA from 1 species